CCCUCUCAAGGCCGAGAGCCCGGGAGGGCUUCCUCUUUGCCUGCUGUAGAACAGCACAGCAGCUGGGCCCUGAGCAUGGCAGGUGUCUAACAGCCCUCGGCAAUCCUGCAAAACAGGAAGUGAGAGAGAACACCAUAUCCAAUUGAAACUGUGGUGGACUGUGGGCUGCAAUGCUUAAUUAACCAACCCCAGUCAUUGCACAGAUCUCUGUAGUUUCGGGAGAGGGGGGAGGGGACAGAGCACAUGGGAGACAGCAGACCCACUUACAGAAUGUGUUUGUGCCGAUCCUGUUCCCUGGAUCCUGCCCACAAAGUGCAGACCGAUCACUCUCAGAUUCAGUUCUUGGUAGGUUUUCAAGGUAUCCCUGUUCACCCCCGCCCUAUACCCUACUCAAGCUUAGAUUUGUCCCAUCAUCCCCACACUUUGCGAUGUGUACUCAGUAAGAAUAUGUUACAGGCAUUUAUUUCUUUUAUAUUUAAACUUUUUUUUUUACAUUUAUUUAUUUAUUAUUGGCUGGGGGGAACGCCACAUCAUGAAUGAAGCAGAUGACUUGUCAGAGACUGUUCGGGUCUCCAGUAUUGAACUCCUGUCACUGUGAUUGCUGGCAAGUGGGAAUGUCUGUUUGUGGGCAGCUCCGAGCAGCACUUGGCUCUUUGAGAUAUCCUAGCACAUCUGUGCAUGACCACUCUUGCCCUAUUCCCAGGCAUUAUUCCCUGUAUAGGGCGUGGAUCUGUUAGAAUGGCUGUCAGGAGUAUAUAAGGAAUGAGAUUGUAUGUUUGAAAGAAUAAAAGCUCAGUAAGGCAAAAGAGUAGUUACUAAGCAGUUGACACUGAACUUCAGACUAUGACUCGAUUGCUACUGGAUGGUAGUGGCAUCUUAGAAAUGGAAUAACUUUGUUUUCUCCCUUCAGUGAAUGUAGUCAAGGAGCUUCACCACAGUACUUGGCACCGAAACUUGUCUUGACUGUUUGACUUGGAAGGAUGUCUGGGUUAUCCUUGGAGGACUAUACGACCCAGGGAGAUGUGAGUGUAUUAAAACCUGCUAAGGAGUUGCCCUCUGGCUGGUACAGCACAGUUUGUUUACAAUAACUAUCCUCCUAACAACCUUUCUGGGUAGGAAUUGUCAUUCCUCGCUUCUAGAGUUGACAAGCUCAAGUCACCGCUAUGUGACAGAGCCAGGAAUUGAACACACACUGUCAAGCUUUACAGAUUCCACUAAGUCCGUAAAUAUCAGGAUGGGGAAGAAUCUCUUUUGUGGGGCUAAUGGGCACAACAAGAAACGAUUAGCUGUCCCAUCAAAAGGACCAGGAGCUCAUCCAAUGAGUCUCAGAAUGACUCCUGAAAGAAUUGCAAAUGCAGAUUCACACGCAGUGGCAAAUUUUGCAAAGUCACUUUUUCUGUCUUGGUUUGGAGGCUGCCACAGUCACUGUGUGGGAUAAGCUUCUUAAAACAGUGAUGCCUGUGUCUCACCCUCAAGACAUUCAGAUGUAGUGGCUGUGGAGAGACACCAAGAGCUUUCAUUGUUUACAAAUCUCCUCCCACUUUCCAACCAGUACCCAGUUGGCUGUAGUGUGUAUUCCCAAGGACCAGACUGGGAGAAAUUGUUCUCCAAUUGCUAUCCAAGUGUUUGAACUAAGGCUGUAUUUCCACUGUAUCUGCAGGAUUGCACAAGAGAAGGCCAUUGCUGAGAGGUGGCCUCAUGGGUAAAGUAUUUGUCUUGUAAGCUUAAGGACCUAAAUUCAAUCCCAAGAACCUUUGCAAAACAAACAAACCAGACCUGGUGGUUUCCCAUAAUCCCAGCAGUGGGAAGGGAAGAAGAAACAGGCAUAUAUCCCUGGGGCUUACUGGCCAACCUGCUUAGUCAAAUUGGUGAGCUCUGGGCCAGACAGAGACCUUGUCUCAAAAGAGUUGGUGAGCUCCUGAGGAAAAGCACUAAGGUUGUCCUUUUGCUUCCGCGUGGACUCACGGAAGCGUUUGCAGCAAGAGAAGACACACAAUGUGCAGAGGAAGCCAUGACUCUAAGGUUGCAGUUGUCUUGACUAAGCAAGGUCCAGCCUGGACCUUCAGAAAGUGGGGCCAAUGCAGUUCUCCAGGACCUGAUCUGCAAUGGCAGGCAAUGUAUCUUUAAGUACCUACCACCAGAAGAGGCAGGAACAAAUGUCCACGGGAAACCAGGCAUCCCUCAGGAAAUGUAAAUGGGUCAGGGACUCUUAAAGAAUUUAAAUGAGCAUGAAAUAGGUGUAGAGGGUUUUCUGGGCCAAUAUGCAAGCAAACUAGUAAAUAACUAUUUUCAGCACCGGGUUUGGUUGGCGGAAUUUGCAUAGACAUGUGAUGCGCUGAGUGUCUAUUUUUACCAUGCAAAUCUGCAAUCUGUAAAGAGAGCUUCGUGCCCCUUGUGGAGACUGUUGGCUGGAAAGAGCUGAUUUUCAGUGGGGCUGGAUCUGGAGUUCUCUACAAUAAGGAGUCCAGUUCUGAGAAUAACCUGAAGUGGAUGCCCAACCUCGUGCUAAUGAUUGGACUAUCAUGGACAAAGCUGAACCUGUGGACAGGAAUGCUGUCAUGUCUUCUUAGAGGGUAAAGACUGUCCCUGAAAAUUCCUAUCCACCCGGAAACUCAGAAUGGGCCUUAGUAGGCAAGAGUCUUUUCGGAUGUAAUUAGGUAAACUAAAGUAAGGCCAUAUUGGGUGUAAGUGAACCACGAAUCCAAAGACUUUGUAAGAAGAGAGAUACAGAGCUAGAGGUAAAAGAGGCAAUACCGGCCAGGAGAAGCCAAACACAAGGGACUGGGACAAAUGAUCCACCAACCGAAGUGUGCCAGUGAUUGCCAGCCACCCCUCGAGUUGGAAGUAGAGAGGAACUUGCUGGAGGGCAUGGUGACAGUGAGGUCUACAAACACCUGCAUCAACUCUAACCUCAGACACUGAGGGAGUCGCACUGCUAUUGCGUUAACUAUGGCGCCUUUAGCUAUUGUCCAGCAGCCCUUAUCAAUUCACUUAGCACGCACGUGAUGUCUUUGAAUGGUGAGAAAAUAUGAUGCCGGCAUGCUUAUCCCGUGAGAGAACUCGGCCCACAAAGCACAAAAACUAAACUCAAACUCAGAGAAGAAUCAAGAAGGGUGUUUUUCCUGGCGUCUACAAGAAGCGCUUUAUUUUUCCUCUAGAUUUCUUUUCUAAAAAAUAAAAAAUAAAAAAGAGAGAAAGAAAACAGACGUAAAAACAGAACAGAGAUCGCUGAUACGAACCUUCAAACAAAUGACACACACUUCAGGCAACCUUAGUCAAGCAUGUUCGUUUAUUAAGUAUAGGAUGGGAGGAACCAGGGUAAGCUAACUCCAGAGGACUGAGAGGACAGCCACUAAUGGAACUGUUCUUGGAACUGAGGAGUCAAGAAUGGAGGGAACUACCUCCCUGUUUCCCACCUCAAGCAUAACCCGUGUAUCUUAAGGAUGCCUUGCCUCCUUCCUUGCCCGCCUGUGUAUCUAGGGAAUGAUUUGCAAAAUGUAAAAUGUAUUUGUUACAAUUGCUAAAGAAUUGCUUGUGUAACUUUGGCAAGGAGGACAGUGAAUGGUGCUUCUGGGACCCAGUGGCUCUGCCCUCACCGACUCUGCUCCCCUCUGAUGGCACCAUCGCAUUGGUUCGGUUGGGACAAGGUACCGAGCUGCUCUCAAGUUGCCACGCCUGUUCAGACCUGGUAGGGAAGUAUGAAACGAUGGCCUCCAGGAGUGAACUCAGCAUGGAGACGUGAACAUGUGCAUUUUUCUUCUGUUAACAGGAGAAAGCUGGCCUUGGGUGGCAGCGGUGGCAGUGACGGCAGUGACGGCAGUGGUGGCAGUUGGGUGGGUCAAGGGUAUAUUAGGUUAUUCUAAGUUUGAUAGAGAAUCAUGUGUGCUUCCAAAGCGAACCUCCAUGCUAACCAUUUUCAAGCAAGCUAACACCAGAAAAGCAAACAGUCCCACAAUUAACCCUGUCCUAGAAAAGGGACAUCGUCCCUUGAAAUUCCCUGCUUCCCACUGAUUAUGUUUUCCCAUUGAUUAUGGCCACUCUUAUUUGCUCGCAUCACCCUGCACUGGAGGCUUCAGGGCACCCAGGAUGAUGGGGCUGACUGUGAUGAGGGUCAGAGCAUGGGUGGAGGUUUGCCCGACAUUAUGUUGCUCUGAUUAGCUGGAGGGGCUGCCCAGUCGAUCCUGGAUGAGCCUCUCGCUGAGUUCCCACAGGGCCCUGGCUGUCUCUUCAUUCUGAGCCUCUUCAGAUGGCAGGCAACGGCAGCAGUUGUUGAAGUACAUCCCUCCGAGGCCCUCCAGCUCGGGAGCGACCGCGCAGUAGACAGUGGUAGCGGCUCCCUGUUGCUGAAAAGCAGAGAAGAAAGAAAAGCAAUUUAUUUUUUUAAUAAAUGAGUGACAAGACAAUGCCAUUUUGGCUAUCUGGAGAUUAGUGAGUCUUUCUCCACUUGGACAUCAGCGUGGCAAAGGGCUCAACUCCAAGCCCAGGACUGCAAAAGUAUGAUGUGUGACAGCUGUGGAAAAACAAGUCCAUAAACUCUGCUUGUAAAGCUGGUGUGACUUUUUACACCUCAUAGAGGAAAAGGCUUGGGAAAUAAAGACACAUUUCAAUAUAUCAUGCCAGACGCCAUUUCGGCACAGAGAAAAAGAUGCCAUAUUCCCUAACUGCAUGAACAAAUCCAUCCAGCCCUUUGACUUCUCAAUGCGCAAUACAAUUUGACACCGAGAGCUUUCUAGAACAUUCUGUCCAAAAGAAACCAACAACUCUUGAUUAUGGUCCAUCAAGUGGAUGGCCCAAGUGAGACUGGUGCCAGAUCUUUUCUGUGUUCUUUGCUCAGGGUGCUCUUAGGGGGUGGGAUGGGUUAACAACACUGUUGAGAUGUUUAAAACACACACACACACACACACACACACACACACACACCAUCUCAUAUGUCCCUACGCUAAUGUGUUUAUUAAUUCAUCCAGAAAACACUUCUCUAAAUGUCAUAUCUGUUCUGGUUUAAUACAAGAUAUGGCCUAAGGUGGGAGGCAUGUUGCCCUCUAGCCCAUUUCAAAAUGCAAGUCUCUGUGAGCAGCGCAUUUCUGGUCUCUUCUCGAGUAUCAGUUGAGGCUAUAGCUAGGGGUGUGUCUGCUGAUGCAGUACGAGGUCAUCCCGACUGACAGAAUAUUGCCAGAGAUAUUACAAAGAGGGCAAGAGCUCACUUUGCUCUGCAAGCCAUAAUUAAAAUAAUAGUCUUCUGUUCGAGGGGAGGCACAGUGAGCACAGCUCUAAUUUAAAACCAGUACAGUUUAUCAGCUGUCCUGUGAUCAUUAAUGGAGGAGGGGGGACAGUACCCAAUGGAUCAACCUGCUGUCGGCUGACAGGGAGUGUGGUCACAAACAAGGACCGAAAGGUCACCACAAGAUGUCACCUUCAGAAAAACAUUAGGGAUGUUUUGCUUAUGAGGGAGUUGGUUUUCUGUCUCUAUUCAAAUGUAAUCAUUUUGGGGGGGGGGGUACGGGGUUUAAGUUGUAUCAGUUUAGAAUGUCCAUGGAAGAACAUUCUCCUAAAUGUCGAAUUCGUGGGGCCAGGGGUGCUUUGAGAACCAGGAUUCCAUGAACUUAGAAUUUUAGCAAAGUUCUAAGAAGCCUACUUGGGUUUUCUUUGAUGCGAGUCUGUCACUGUGUUGGGAUCUGUGGUCAUAGAUGUGUCAAAUGUAGCCACGUGGCCUGACUGUGGAAGAGGUGUGGAGGAGUGUGUAAGGCAGAUAUGAAGUUAGAUAACACCUAGCCAUUUGAGACUACUGGAUAGGUCCCACCUGCCCAGGAUUUAAACAUAUGACUUGUGAUUGGGGCAUAAUUGAAAAUCCUUCAACAUGUUUGACUCCCCCUGCUUAUCCCCCCCACCCCAAAAAACCAGAGACUACUUUGGAUUCAUUGAUUUCUUUCUCAAUUGAUUUCCCUUUUGUGAGCUGUUACUCCUCAUCGGCUGUUAGCUGAGCACCAGGCGUGUUUAUCUAAAUACCUGUCAGACAGUUAUGGGAUUCUUCUGCAUUCUGUGGAGGAGGUGAGCAGCCAGAGGGCCUCUAAUAGCUGAGAAGAACAUAGAGAUUAUCUCUCAGGUAACCCAAGCCAUACAGUAGCUUGUCCUCAGCUUUCUGCCGAGUCUAGGGGAAGAUGGUGUUCUGGAUAAACUAUGGGCUGUUUCUCUUGGAUUUUCAUUUUAUUUUGUAGGUGACAAAUAAAGCCAAGAGUGAUCAGGUGACUUGCCACAGACUUCUAUGUGAUGGAUGAGAGAAUUCAGUCAGCUCCUCUCCAAAUCCACUCCUCUUCUUCCUCUUCCCCCUCCUUCCCCCUCCUCCUCUCUCUCCUCCUUCCCCCCUCCUCCUCUUCCUCCUCCCUGAACAGUAGAUGAUUCUCAUGUAAGACAAUGGUUCUAAUUUCACAGCAGGCUGGCCUUUCACAGCCUUGCCAAUCCUGAGACGAGACCAAGGGAGGCCACUUGGGAAAGUGAAAGCCAGAGCUCUCCCAAUUCUAAUAUGGUACACUGCCGCUGUGGCCUUCUAAACGUGGUGUGGUCUGUGUGCUUGCACCGUGGAAAUGGUGCUCUUGUGAAGAAAUUCUGCAGUCACCCCAAUCCAGAAUCAAGCUAAUUUGUGGAUCAAGAGGAGAUGUAUUUUCCCUCGUUGGGAUCUGCAAGCAAACUGCAGUUGGGCUGGUUUCGUGGAAACAGACAUUUGGUAACUAUGCUUCAGCGGUUUUAAAAGCCCAGCGUUCCACACAUGUGCACUUCAAUUCUUUGCUAUUGGUCUUAGGGUACUUUACAACCCAAAUUCUACUGCCAGUGCCGAGAGCUUUAUAAAAGAACACAGUACAGGGUACAAAGGCCACCUUUGCUACCCCAAAGAACAAUUGUGCGCUUUCGGCAAAUCCUCCCUGACUGCGCCAUGCUCGUAGCCAUUGGCUCUCGCUUUAUCUUCUUUUCAGACACACAAUUACGUGCUGACAAUAUCUUGUUGGUCCCAUGCCCACUACCUCGUGGGCUUUUUGGAGAAUUUUCUUUUCAGCUGUUCCAAUGGCAGCCUUUGAGUGACAUCUUUAUGCCAUCGGAUGUGGCGACAGUUUAAUAACAAGUUCCCAUUUCGGGCUCAUCGGCUUUUCAAAAUUCCACAUACCAUCAGCCCAAGACAGGACCACAUUAGCGAGAUCUCAUUAGUAAACAAGCCUGUGCCACUGAUAGAAGAUAAAACAUUUUUAAACUGAUAAGAAAGGUUUUGUGGGUUUUGGUGGUUUUUUUUUUUUUUUCUCCUGUGAGCACUUCAAUCACCAUCAAAUGACUAUCACGCCACUUUGGGGGGCAUCCAUAAUUCAGAGAAGAUGAAAGCGAUGCAAAAAAGAAACAGUGUUAACAACACUGAUGUAAUAUCUGAAGAUAUGACUUGCAGUUUGUCAACAUUGCUUCGCUGAUCCACGGUGAUAAAAUAAUAACCCAUUGACAUAUGAAUUCUGGCUGGAGUUAUGGAUUCUCCCAGAUGUGUGUGUGUGUGUGUGUGUGUGUGUGUGUGUGUGUAUCUCCUCCAGAACAAUUUGUCAGGUUACUCACAGUCAUUCGGCAGCAGAAGCUGGGGAAGUGGCACCUUCAAUCCAAAGCGAUGCCAGUGCCACCAGGAUACCGCACUGAUGGCCCAGGACUGAGAGUUUGUGGGAAGCCUAGUAGAAGUUUUAAUCAUACCCCAAUGGCAUCUGGGUUCUAGUCAAACAUUUUCGAGUGGCCAGAGUUCAACUGUGCCAUCGGUUGUUACUAUGCUUGUAAAAUUGCCCAGGGUUCUUGUUUGGAAGAUUAAACUCAGAACAUUUUGCUAAUAGAGGUUUAUCAGACUCCGUAGGAAGCUCCUUUUCAGAUAUGCGAUCCCAUCCCAUCUUCCACCCCAUAAACCUGGAACACAGACAAGGGGCUGCUGUUGGUUGCUGGGAUCCUGAGAUUUAAAGGGGCCAUCCUUCCAAAAUCCUCUGGUGGGAUGAAGCUGUUAAGUAGCUGCCUUCCAUCAACAUUUAUUUGAUAACUGCUGGCCACCAAUUUGUAGCUGUCAGCACAGAAUACAAAUGGAUAUUGAGUCCUUCCAAGAAAAAGGUACAGAGGUUUCUGAUAAACAAAACAUGUUUUAAAAAAAUCAACCACAUAUUGAUAUCUGUGAUGCAUUGCCUCGUGCUGUGAUAGAAUGCCCAUGUUCUGAUAAGAACACAGGUUACAUAAUUAAUUUAGCAUUCGGGCGACUCCGCUUUAAUAUGCAUGCUUAUUUAAAAGGAACAGUAGAUCCCUUUCUUAAAGUAGGUGUAACAAUGCAUUUAAAAAUAGGCACGGUAUCAUGGCAUAUCCACAUUCAAAGACUUGAAAGAGCAGAAGAUGUUUGAAGAUUGCUUUAUUACAGAUGUAUCCACACCAGGACAUCACACAGCAAAUGCUGAAUUAAUCAAUUUAUGCAAAAAAGAAAAAAAUAGAUUCGGGAAAAGGAACGCACCAUGCAAGCUAGAUUAGGCCUGGAGCCUUAAGGGCAGGGAAGGCAGGCAGCUCUUGAGAAGUGGGCUGUGACUGCAGAGAUGGAUUGGAACUGCUGAGCUGCGAUGAAAAGGUUAGGCAAAGAGGAAAGACAGGUGCUUCUUCAGAUCCUCAGAGCUCUUGUUGUGACUCAUCUGGGGGCUCGUAGGCAUAGAAUACACUUUCCAAAUGUGAAAUCAGUGGUCCCGUGGAUAGACUAUGCUGAGUGGAAUGGCCAAUGAGUCCCAAAGCUGUGGUAGUGGCAAGCAUCUGACUACCCUUCCCUCUCUUAGUAACAACCCUGCAAGAGAGUUUAUAAGACUUCUAUCAGAUAUACGCAACGCUGCCUUCUGGAGUUCAUCUCCAAAGGUCUUGGUGCUUGGGACAUAGCUGUCCCCACAGUGAAUCCUUUCAAUCUCUGGAUUCCAAGGCAAAAAUAAUCUGUUCCAAGGGGUGCUGUGUCCCUGCUUACUACCCAAGAACAAUCUUGUCAGUGGACGAAUUGACCUCCAAAUCCAGAAUGUUCCACCUGGUCAUACGGCGAAGUGUUUAGUGCAGGAAGGAGGCUCAUACAGCUCUCUGAUCAGUGGCCCACAACGAAAGAAGGUCACCAUGGCUAAUCAUACAACCAAAUGGGCUUUAUCAUUAAGCAGUGAGGGCCCACCACGAUCAAAGAGAACAAACAGCUCUGGUCUCCAGUGCGUUCCAGCCAAUAAUGAGCAUCCCAGUAGGCGCGAUGACUAGCAUUCAUUGAGAGGUGAUUUUCUGCCAGGUGCUGGCAGAUAGCCUCAUCAACAUCACCUUCCAACCCUCGAGCUACCCUCACACCCACAUAAAUUCAGAGAUUGAAUGGAACUUGUCCGAAGACCCAGUGACAGUCACAAAUUGAUAGAUCCACGAGUCAGGGUAGGAAACCUCCUUCCCAAACACAUGACACAUAUUGGCCAUCUCCUCCCAGGUGCCUCUCAUUUGACUCAAGCUUCCUUGCACUAUUUUGUCCCCAGUCCGUACCUAGUUACAGAAUGAUGCCCUGAUUUGGCCUAAAUUAAAUAUACUAGCUGUCUGUAUGUUCACCUGAUAAAUGCUCAAAGGAGAUUUUUCCACUGUUGAUUUAGACAGUGAACUAAAUUGAAAUUAUAUCCAUUUGGAUUAACCAAAAAAAAAAUUGAAGAUUCAGCACCCAGUCCACCAAUUCAACAGCAAAUGACUCUUUACAAGAAGAAGAAGAAGAAGAAGAAGAAGAAGAAGAAGAAGAAGAAGAAGAAGAAGAAGAAGAAGAAGAAGAAGAAGAGGAGGAGGAGGAGGAGGAGGAGGAAGAGGAAGAGGAGGAGGAGGAGGAGGAGAAUGAGGAGGAGGAGGAGGAGGGGAGGAGGAGGGAGAAGAAGAAGAAGAAGAAGGAGGAGAAGAAGAAGAAGAAGAAGAAGAAGAAGAAGAAGAAGAAGAAGAAGAAGAAGAAGAAGAAGAAGAAGAAGAAGAAGAAGAAGAAGAAGAGGAAGUUGUUACCUGACUCAAAAUGCCACCCCCAGGUACCAGAUCUGCCAAGUUAAAGAACAUCCUCUUUGAUGAUAAAUAUUUUCUAAGAUCGAACAUCAAAACCAGUGGAAUAAAUGGUUGCCUACACAACUCUGUAUCCUGCCCACCUUCCAACAGCACUCUCAUAGGAAAGCUUGCAUGUGCUGGACCAGAAAGGUACGGGACUUUCAGUUUGCUUCCAGAGCCACCCCUGUUUCUUAAACUCCCAUACAAAUGUAGCCUUCCAUAAAGACAGGCUCUGACAACCCAUUAGACUUGCAAACCAACCCAUCCCCCUCCUCGCAACCCCCAAUAAAUCCCUAGCAAAUUAACUCUUACAAAUUCCCAACAAUUGUUUCCUCCAAAGGCCUUGAAUAGUACAGGCUCAGCUCGGAUACAUGCAAAUAUUUUAUGUAGACACUGAGAUGUAAACUCCUUCGUAUCCCUUGGGAGUUCUGCUAAUGCACAGGUUGUUCUUAAGCCUUCAUUACAAAAAGCCUUCAUUGCAGGAGGAAAAAAAAAAGUAAAGCUCUGGAGACUGGAUAUUUAUUUACAGGCCAUCCCAGUGUGAGAGAAUAUUCCAGAAAAGCCCUACAAAGUACACACUGGCCUUUCGCUCUGGAGAAGGGAAUGUGCUUACCUGACGGUGUGACUUUGACAGUGUGUUCCAGAACUUACUUGUUACCACAAAUCCUUUUGCUAUACAGAGGGUCUCAGGUGUGGAAGAGCUCGGUUUUUUUUUUCCUGGUGACUCACGAGCGAAGGUAAGGAGUGCAUUCUCAGGUGUACGGACAAAUCUGCAGAGCUCAGCAGUCUCCGAAGGAGAGGCACAUGGCGAAAUAGGCCAACUCGUCAGGCUAACUAAACACCAUCAGGCGAGCACAGAUAGCACCCAAAGUACAAAGCUUCUCUUGAAUGAGGUGAAGGACAGAAAGAACGACAUUGAACUGUUCGGUGGCGGCCAAGUACCCAGAGGAUCUGAGAUGACCCCAGACAUUUCCUCUUGCAUUGAAGGAAUCCAAAUAAAACACCACCAAAUGAAAGUCAGAUCUCUGCCAGAAGAUACAGUUUUCUACAAAGGUCCCUGAGGAGUUUUGAGCCCCUGGCUGGAAGACCAGGAUAGAGUGAAUGCGAAAGCCCUGGAAGUGGUGCUUUUUCUAGGAGACGAAGUCUGGAACCACUGAGUUGGGGGUGUAAGGCUGGACGGAAUUCUUUUUAGACCAGAAGAAUAGAGCUGCCAGCCCAAGCCUUACACCUAGGGAAGGACUAGAUAGCCAAUCGCAACCAUUCCAAGGCAUCCAAAGACAUGUUUGGUCUCAAAAUGUGAGGCCAGGCAAGGGUUUUAAUUUAACUAGUCCAGAGGGUUGGAGAGAAGAGAGACCUCUGUAGGCCGUCAGGGCUCUGUCUGCACAUCAAGGAUUAUUCUAGACUUUCUCUCAAAAUAAGCAACAUACCUUUUCUAUUUUCCUCAUGCCUGAGACAAGCCAUGAGUUCUGUGACAGAAUUCUGUGUGGUCUUAAAGGACUAGCAAUAUGAUAAUUAGGAUCAUUUCACCUUGUGGGACCCUACGCUUCCGUGGGAGAGAGGUGGAAGGUACUCUCAAUGAGGAGGGGAAAGACACGACUCAAAUGUGAUCUGUUAGGUUGUCUCAAAGCACGCUUAUUCCACAUUUCGUUUGUGCCCACCCACAAUGCUCUUGGGCAAUUCUCAUUAUAUGGAAGGAAAGGUCUGGUGGUUUAGGCCUUAUAUACUCAUGAGAGAUACGCCUGGGCCUUCCCUGUUGAGUUGCCCAAAAUGUGUACACCACUCAAUGCAACUUAUCAUCCAGUUCUUUGACGGAUGGAGAUUUCUCUUGUGGGAUGGAAAUCUGAUCUGGGUAUCCAUUCUUUCAGGACUUACUUUGAUAUGGCCUAACACAAGAGUCACAGAAAUGUGCCACUGAAGCAAACAUCUUACUAAUAGCAUAAUGGGCCUACCGCUGUAAUUUUCCAACUGGUUGGCCCACCUCCAUGCCAGAGUUGAAGGGAAUGAUGAAGUGUUCAUAAGAGAUAAAAGGGAGAUAUUUAGCAGGUGUUAAUUUGAAACAUCUUACAUUUCACUUCUCUAACCUCUGUUAUAGCCACUUAUAUACAUAUAUUUAUGAAUACUGUAUAUACAUGUAUGCCUCUGUAUUCACCAUGUAUACUGAAGUAAACCUCUCAAAAUGAUUGCCAGGCAGAAUCAAUGGCUUUGGUUCUAAUAUAAUGGGGAAAAGAUGUCUUUUCAGUAUAAGCGAAACCCAUAGCUUCCCCCUCUUCUUCUGCAUUAGAAAAGCUUCCGUCAGUUUGCCUGUCCUUUUAUCUCUUCAACUAAAUAAAAAACCUGACUAUGUGGAGAGCAGGCAAGAUUUCAGGGCACACACCUCAAACGAGCUGUUUAGAUUGUUAAAGGCCAACAGGAUCUACACACCUAUGUCACUGAUAAAUUCUACAAAUAAGAAAUAAAAAUAUCGUGGUGGGGUGGGGGCGGGGGUGGUGGAAAUCGCAGAGUCCCUAACAUGACCACAUCAAGGGAAGAAAUGAAUUGUUAAUCUGCCGUCCCAGCAUGAAUUAAGAAGGCACACCUUGCCAUAAUUCAGCUCUCAAGGGCAGCCCUCCUACCCCCAUGGCUAGCCCUGCCAUGUCAAAUAGGGUGCAUCCUUGCUUAGCCCUGUGUGUUUUCUUGGAGAACUCCUUGGAACAGAUCAUUCCUCUGGCUUGAAGAUGUCAGCCUUGCUAAUAUUUCAUUUAGAACCUACAGUGGCAGAGCAUCUCGUUUAGUUAUUACUUCCAUAAUUAAUGGUGAUCGCCCAGGCACUGCCUUUACACAGAGAGAGCUCUUCUCGGUGGUCUACGGGCUAAUGAGAAACAAUAGAUAUUUCAUUCACCAGCAGCUUGUUGCUAGUUAGUGGGAAAUGAUCGCGUGUGCUGUUGCUUUAAUUGCCAGAGUAAAUAAUUCUGCCUGGGUGUUAGAGAGCAUUUUAAAGCACUUGAUGCAAAUAUACGAGAAACUAAACAAACAAAAAAAGAAUUUUUUUAAAAUUGCAUUCUAUCAUGCAAAUAUUAUCUAAAUAUGCAUGUGCUAACUACUCAGCUACUGUAUUUCAGGAAAUACAACUGAGCUGCCUUUCUCUUCCCCUAUGUAGACUGUAAAUAACUGUAGAUCUUUCUCUUGUUUCCUUAUGUAAAUAUAUGUAAAUACUAACACGCUAUGCAUGUUGAUAUUCUAGGCGGUUUCAGGUACUUUUAUAAUCUAAAGGCAUGAACUUGAACUGGUUUGUUAAACAGGGGGAAAGGGGAAAACUCUCUCGAAUUCUUUAAAGCUGAAUAGAAAUUAAAGAUUCUUCCUAGA